GCAGCGUAGCGUAGUGGUUGGUGUGUGGGGAUGUUCCCGCGAGGUCCUGGGAUCAAAUCCCAGGGUAUGCA
rnacentral:tRNA from 1 species